GACGAACGCUGGCGGCGUGCUUAACACAUGCAAGUCGAACGAUGAAGCCUUAGCUUGCUUUGGUGGAUUAGUGGCGAACGGGUGAGUAACACGUGAGCAACGUGCCCAGGACUCUGGAAUAACCGCGGGAAACCGUGGCUAAUACCGGAUAGGUGCCGAGGCCGCAUGGUCUUCGGUUGGAAAGUUUUUGCGGUUCUGGAUCGGCUCACGGCCUAUCAGCUUGUUGGUGGGGUAAUGGCCUACCAAGGCGACGACGGGUAGCCGGCCUGAGAGGGUGACCGGCCACACUGGGACUGAGGCACGGCCCAGACUCCUACGGGAGGCAGCAGUGGGGAAUAUUGCACAAUGGGCGCAAGCCUGAUGCAGCAACGCCGCGUGGGGGAUGACGGCCUUCGGGUUGUAAACCUCUUUUAGUAGGGAAGAAGCGCAAGUGACGGUACCUGCAGAAAAAGCACCGGCUAACUACGUG
rnacentral:rRNA from 1 species